AAGACUGCAGUUAGGGGGUAGCCGUACCCACAUGGAGACAUAGUUCUUGCGUGUGACGAUGGAAGGACCAGAGGGCGAGACCUGUCACGAGACGUCAGAGGGCUUACCUUCCGUCUCUCUCACUGAUUGACAAGCGAAUGGUGGAAGGGUGGGGACUCGGAUGACUAUGAAGGUAUGAAAGACUGUUUGCUGUGUUUUCUCUCAAUAUCUGAUUUACAUGUGCAUGCGUGCGUGCGCGAGCGCGUGUGUGUCUGUGUGUGAGUUCGAAGUGAGCAUUGGCUCCAGGAUUAUAGUAGACAAAGUUUGUAGCACUAACAGUGGCUUACAGACGUCCAAGAAUGGCUAGUCGUCCUGUGGAGGACCUGCUGACCAUCGUUAAAAAAAGGCUUUAAUUUGUUUACAAAAAAUACUCUGAAUACCAAGGUUGCCGCACUGAUCACCUGUAGGCAAUCCCACACUUCCCUGUUGCUGACCUUUUCAACACAAAAUUUAUGUCCGGAAAAUCCCAUAGCACGUCAGAAAAUUUCAAGAGUCAACGCCCAUAAAUUAAAAAGGCAGAUUGAGUAUUUAGUUUUACUACACGUUAGACACAGUUCUCUUAUCAUUGACCUCUGACCAUGAUUAACCCCUGAGUCAUAUAAAGGGUGCAGCAAAACAGUUAUCUCAACAUUGGCUUCAGUUACAAAACAGUUGGUCUGCUUGAGAAUAUGUUGUUUCUCUUUCUGAAAUGUGGGAUAUGAAAUAAAGAAAUAGCACAUAAAUAGAAAAAUGGAGACAGAGAUAUUGCAUUACGCACAACAGCUGUGUACACGAGUGAAGGCAUUUUGUGUGUCUAAUGCAUGCAAACAUGUAACACGAAAAGUUAUCCUCAGCUAGUGAUUUGAUGAUAUGGUGUUCGUCCAGAUGUAUUUUUGAAACAAUAUAAAUAUUACAGACACAGAGAAGGUUUUUACAACACACCAAUAAACCUAGAUAUAUCCCAUAAGUCAUCUGAAGCAAUAAAUUAGAUUGUCUGUUGGGACUAUAUGAUUAUGAUCCUGCAAAAGUUGUUGGGUUAGUUUUAUUUUACAAUUGAAAGUAACAUGGUGUUCUUGGUAGUCUUUUCUUCUCUAGAUAUUGAAAGAAUGACAAUCACGAGUUAAUAUCAGAAUUGAUAGGAAGGACACUGUACAUAAAGCAGUAUGUAGUUCAGAUUUGUUACUAUUGCCCCCAUCUCUGUAGAAGAAAGAAAAUUUAAUUAGAGGGGUCUGAAUAAUUUUGUAGGUAAUAUGACAUUUUUCUCCCCGCAGUUGCUGCCAGCUCGUCCUGUUUGAUCCUAUGUUGAAACAUACUUCAUGUAGACACUUCUCUUUUGCUGCUUUGUAUUUUAUACUAUUGAUCUUCCUCUCCACAUUUGUUUGCUGAUGUUUACUCAGGUGUCUGAAGGUGUGGUGUGUGCAUUUUGUGUCUGUAUGCAAAGGCAUUUUUGCAUUUAUUUGUUCAAAGCGGAUCAAUUGCAAAGUGGGAACAUGUGUUACAUAAAUCAUUUUUGUUAUUAACAUAAGACUCACACCAUUGAAAAGACCGCUACUAUACAAACUUCAUGCACACAAAAUACAAUAAAGUUCACACAUUCUUUAAUGUCUCAAAAGUGUCCACAAAGCACACAAUGGGUUACUGCACAACAGCUGUAGGUGGGUAUAGAUUUUAAACAUAUUUAUUUUGAAGAUACCAAACCUUGGUAGUAUGAGUAUAGAAUUACUCAUAAAACUAAGGAACAUCGCUUUACUACCCCAAUAAAAUGUAAUUACCCACAUAAAAGACUUUACCCCCACUACAGACGACACCGAAACAUUUUACAGGUUUAUUAACACGAAGAAAUAUUAAUAUGAUAACUUUUAGAAUUGAUAUUAAGUAGAAGAGGAAUAGAUGAUGGCACACAAUUGGUAGGAGUUACUAGAAAUGUGUAGGAUUCGAUCUUUCAACUCACUGCAUGUCUUUUUUAGUUACAAUGGUAUAAAGUUAAGUACUCGCGAUUUUCUUUGACUUCUUCAUCUUCAAACACGAGCAGACACAACCGAUUGUUUUUAGAUGACUCUGAAGCAUGGAUUCUAAAAUACUGAAUUUGUGUAACAAUGUCACAGCUUUGCUAAGUUAAGAAGUUCAUAACAAAAGUGUAGUUGGGAGUUACAGAUUAAAUAUUCAAACUAGGAUUAGAUACCAGUUUCCUUCUCAAAUAUAGACUGGGGAGAACCCAUAUACACUGUACAGGAAGUUUUAGUAACUUAUAUCAAUAAGUGUUAACCAGUAAGCUAGUAAUCGGAUUCGACUGGGUGACGAACUUUAUGUCCGACUUGGGAAGUUCCAUGCAAGUGUAUCCCAAACUAGUGACAGUUGAUUCUCGUCAUCGCUAGACAUUGCUUGUCACAACAGUCCCAGCUGCAGCAACCUCAAGGGCCGAUGGUCGUGGCAGGAGUGCGGCAGAUAAGUGACAGUGGAGUGGCCAUGUCCUUCAUCCGGGUCACUCACCACGGGGACACUGAUGCAGAAUUCUCAUCUUCAUUUAUCAUCCGUUACUAGAACAGUUCUCGUUUCUAACAUUUUAAAUAUUAAAUGUAAUAACUGUCGUUCGGUUCUUUUUUUUAUUGAGAAAAGAAGAGGAGAACAGCACGGCGUGGUCACGCAUGCAUCGCAAGGAGUUACCUAAGAAUUCCUUACUAAACCUUACAGACUUUCUCUGCGGCAAUUCCUCCGUCACCGUCUCUCCGUCCACCUAGAAGGAGGAGUUGGUGGGGGUUGAUGACUACACUGGGAAUCUCAUGCUGCUCAUUUCCGACCCCGGAAUGUGAGUGGUAAGACACGUCAUCAGGUCACCGACAGGGUUCAUCGUGUUCUCAGCAUAGAGAAGUAUUGUUGAGCCAACGGCAAUGGUCGUCCGGGUAUACAGCACCAUUUCUACCACCCCGCCACGACAUACAACAACGAAGACUGGCAACACUGUUCGGUGUGAGACGAAUAAACUACUCAAGAGGACAGGAGACGGUUUUCAAUACCCUCUUCAACAAGCUGUUGCCAACCUAAAAUAUUUGUUACAUAGAGGCAGUGAUAUAAAAGAAAUUUAUGCUCUAUUGAAAUACAAAAAUGAAAUUCAUCUUUAUUAAGAGAAAGAAAGACAGGAAAGAAGGAAGGAAAACAAAGCCUUUUUUAAAAUCUCGUUGAAACGCACGCUCAACGUAUCUAAAUAACCCUCGUGCGAUGCUUUACAGAUUCUAAAUUUGAUUUCUUUGAACUGCUGUUAGUGUUAAAAACAUAUUAAACUGACUUUAGGCUGGUCAAGCCGUGAAGUGACUGUUAUCUAACACCAACAUGCACGUUGCAUCGCAUCCUUGCACAUCGCAGUCGGGUGAGUAACGCGGAUGUUUUAUUCUACAAAGAGGAUUGGUUUUCUCACACUUCACUUUCAGAUAACAGCCAGGUCCAAAAAGUUAAAAAAAAAUGUAAUGCACACUGGAUUUCAACAAAAAAUAUUCUUCCUUCUUUCGUUGUAGUUUUAAGAGCAUUUUAGCUGUCACUGCCAAGAGUAUUGAAAAUUGUUUUUAACGGCAGGUUUGUUACAGUUGCUGACCCUUUGCACUAUGAAGAGAUAACGUGACGCAGUUGCAGCAGUGCAGUGACCUUUGACAUCAGUGCCUCCUGCGGACUAGGAGAUUGUGCGCAGCAAGAUAGCAUACUGUUUGGUUUGUUUUUUGUCUUGUUUUUUGUUUGUUUGUUUGAUUUUGCUUUCUUGAGUUAUUUCUUGUUUGUCUGGUUCCUUCCCACCUACAUUGUUUCCUUUUGUUUGUGCGUUUAUUUAUUAACUAGAUAACUUCUUCUUCUUUUUUCCUUUAUAAGCACCUUUAUCUGGAUUGCUACAAAUAACUCUUAAACUGCGAGAGACAUUUACUUACACAUUUAGACCUAAACAACCUUCGGGUAUAUAUUUCUUUAGUGGAUAAUAUAAUGUACUAUAGCACAACAGAUUCUGUCCCUCUCCCAGACCAUUGCCCUUAGCAACACGCUGAUAAACAACAUCCCCCUCCAUCGUCUUCCCCACCACCACAACACCCUUGCAGCCCGCAGCAGUCCGUCCAUGCGACGACCUGACAGCGCUCAGCUGACAGUUCACUGACGAUUCCACGUUUGGACGACGAUGAAAAUGCGACGACUAUAUAGAAGCAAUUUGACGACGGACAGUCGGACGGUUGGACACAAUCUGGUGGUUUGUGAGUAAUGACGGUGGAACACAAUCUGGCAGUUGAUGACGAUUUGACAAUUUGAAGGUUGACAACAAUCCGGCCACAAACUUAUAGUUGAAAACGAUCCGACCACAAUCAGGAGAGCAAUACUGGUUGCUAGGAUCGGUCUCGUGCACCAAGCUAGGAACCGCACUAUGCAAAAAUCCUGAGCACACCAGUUUCUCUCCGUAACCAAAGCUCCUCUAAUUCCGAAUCGUUUCAACUCGUUAAGAUCAGCAAUAAAAGACCCUGUCAGGUGUGCACGCACCCACUGCCCCAGCGCCCUUACUUUACGAGGCUCUACAGAGCGGGUCACUUAUCUACUAAAAGGUCUCUGCCGACUUAUGGGCGACGAUCCAGCCCUUCCCCCAAACAGAAAAAAUAACUAGCUACACUAACCGCCGGGCUUCCCCUACCUGGCCCCCGAACCUCGACCACCCCUGCAGCACGCGACAUGCGACACUCAGGUCAAGAAUCAAAAUGUAGAACUUCAAAUAAAUUGUCUGGUUAACUAUUCGGUUGGAGGUCCUACAGCGAAGUGAGUGUAAUACAGCGUUAAUGUUUAAGUUAAGGUUUGGAGUAGAAAUACAGCUUUAAUGCAGAGCUUUAGGACAAAGCAUAGGUGCAGGUUGUACAAUAAUUUAGCUGAAAACACUCGGCUGAAGUUCUGCAACUUCGUUGGGAGCACGUGAAAUGCAUGCAUAUAGUCAUCUCCAUGCUGCUGUGUAAUUUCUAGUUGAUCUCUCAACUAGCGAAAUUUAUAGAAUGGGGUCGAAAGUUCUACUAAUUUUUAUUUUUCUUAUUUUAUUUUAUUUAUUUUAUUUAUUUAUUUAUUUAUUUUUGUUGUUGCUGUUGUAAUAUUCGUGAGCAGCGUUGAUGGGGUACAGGGCCAGUAAGACUGUCGGAAAGAGUCUAUGUGCCAUCAGAGAGGAUUUGGAAGAAAGACCAUUUCAGUAUUUCACAUAGAAAAGUCCUUCGAAAAUGGUGGUAGUGGCUUUGUCUCUCUCUCUCUCAAUCAUUGUCAUGACGCUGCAUAGUUCCCAACUUUCCCCCCUGUUGUAGUAGGCAGGAGGGGUGGGUGUGGGUGAAGGUGUAGGCACUUUAAGGAGGAAUAACUCUUGCAUGAGUUUUGACUAAUCGGAUCUAGUUUGUCUCCCUUGAUCAUUGCCGGUGACUAAAGUUUGACUUCUUGUGUUCACUUUCAGUUGUGCGACCGGGCGUUUAUUGGAAAGAUUUUUCCUGUCCUGCAACAUAAUUUGACAUGUGUGUGUGUGUUUAUAAAGGAUAUAGGGAAUUGUUUGUACUUUGUGUUAAGAACUCGCGAAUGACUCUGUGUGUGUGUGUGUGCGCACGACAUCACCAGUAACCCUAACAGUAGAAAAAAGGUGAUACGAGCAGGUGUGAGAACUGUUUACGUUAACAUUUCUAUUCCUCGCAAUGGCUGGCAAGUCUUCAUGUUGGAUUCCGUAUUGUAACAUACUUCAUGUGCAUUCUUCUCUUUUUAUACCUUGUUUGAGGACUGUUGAUCUUUCUCUUUAUAUUUGUUUUUGUUUAGUGCUGUCAAUU